AAACAAUGCUCUGUGCAGCUGGGGCUCUCUGGCAUGACUGCAGUAAUCCUGAACUCGCUGUAAACUGCUUUUUCAUUCAACCCAACUUGGAAAAAGGCAGACAGGCUGUAGUCUAAACACCCCAAGAGUCUCUAUGUGCUUUGUUCCAGCACACUGCGCUCUCCUGUGAUUUAAAACAAUGUGUCUUUGUGCUUAUCUUCUGGGCUUGGCAAGGCAGGAUUUACCUCUGAGUUUUUGUCUCAACAGGAGAAAUUGCUGUCUAACAGAUCCUUUGUGGACUUCCGACCAAAACCAUCCAGUGCAACAUAUGGUAUGUUCUUGCUCAUGGUGGUCACCUUCUGAAGUGCUCCAAAGUGCCUGGAUAAAUCCCACAGGGAUCCCAUUCCUCCUACAAGGCUGGAAUUUGGUUCAGGCAACACUGAACUGUGUGGAUGCUCUGAAGGUUGAACUGGAGAGAGGACCUGGCCCCUCACUGCCUACCUUCUCCUGCAAGGAAAACAAACUGUGCUCAGGGUUGGACAGUGCUGUGAGCCAAGUCUGGACAUCCUCCUUGGGACAAUCUCCUGCCACAGUGGUGUUCCAACGAUGAAAGUGUUCUUUCUGUGGCUUGCAUGCUGGAAGUGCUCAUGGAAAGAUAUUCUGGGGCCGUAGGCAUGUAGAUGAGGCCCUGCCAG
rnacentral:lncRNA from 1 species